rnacentral:snRNA from 1 species
GUGCUCACUUCAGUAGCACAUAUACUAAAAUUGGAAUGAUACAGAGAAGAUUAGCGUGGUCCCUGCACAAAAAUGACAUGCAAAUGAGUGAAACAUUACAUAUAUAU